rnacentral:misc_RNA from 1 species
AGCAGGAUCAUGUAAAGUGAAACCCAUCGGGAGUGCAUAUAUAUGAGGAGUAAAACAAUCGAGGUUUGAGAACCCUGACGAGGGUUUUUGAGUCUUGAAGCAACCUCAAACUCGUUGAGCAGAUGACUCUGCUCAACUGAAGUCGACUAGGGGACCAUUUGCCCUCUUGAACAGUCGAAUCUCGGGAAUGGGGAAACAAUCGACUCUCUCAUGGUUUCUCUCGAAGCCUGAGAAGGUCUGAGGCAACCCUGAAACUGAACCGCGUUUCUCUGAAGAGGUAUGUCUCCAGAAGUGGGGGCUUCCUAUGGACGAGAGGCGCGCAUGUGUCGCCGAUCAUGGAUGUCUUGGUUCACGCCGUGAUGAAGAACGGAGCUGGCACCGAUAUUUUUGGGGAAUCACAGAGUUACGUGAUGCCAGAUAUAUUGGAUGAUCGGCUUUGAACGCAUACUGCAGAGCUGUUCGUCCUUUCGGACGUUCAGCAUUGUUUGUUUCUCAGAAAUGUUCGCCUAAAACCAAUCUGGUGGUAGCCUACUGCUCAAGUUGGCUUGCUGCUUUAUCUGAGUACGGCGCAGUUCACGUCUCAACCAGUCGCGCGCGGGUAAUGGAAAUACUACCUGAGGAUAAGCAGCUCUUGUAUUUGCCGGAAAUGCAAAGCGACUGGUGAUCUUGAACGGCCGUGUGCAAUUCCAACGUCCGAGGGGCUGACUUUCGUCAAAACCUUGAACGCAGAGGGUCGACUCUGAGGCAACUAUUCUGAUGAUUCAAAAACCCACCUGCCUAACUUAAGCAUAUUAGUCGGCGGUGGAGAAGCAUGGUAAGACGAUAGUCUUAGUAACGGCGAGAGAAAUGAUAGACCCGGAGAGGGAUUUUGCUCUAAGAGUCAUACCAGACUGGCGUUUCUAGUCCAUGACUGUUGCAGGGUAUCCAUUGGAUCGGCAAACCUGUGGCUCGUAUUUUCACGUCUUGCCGGCUCUCAGCCAAAACCCUGAUCUGGAAUGUUAUGUUGCGCAGGGUUAGAACCCCGUUGUGAAAAACGGCUGAGAGGGCUUGAGUGAUCAACGCGACACUGUGCAUUGCUGCGUCCAUCUGAGUAAAGCUGCUUGAACAUGCAGCUUCAAGGUCUUCGAUGUAUCUCAAUGAAGACCCUAACACCGGCGUGAAACCGAUAGCGUACAAGUAGAGCGAUCGAAAUGUGCGAAGUACUCUGCAAAGAGAGUGAAAAGUACCUGAAGUGAUCGGCGAUUAGAAGGGCUGGCUACCCUCCAGGAGUAAGCAAACGUAACUCAGUCCAGUUUCCUGGCUGUGGUGCGUUCUUCGGUUGGCUGAGGGCAGAUGUGCUCUCAUGUGUGCUGGCUAGCGUCACAUGUGCUGGAAUAUGUAUUGGCUUGACCUUGGUGCCGUGGACUCGAGCCUAGUGGGGAAAACGUGAGACAUCCCAUACUGGAUAGGUGCUCGUUCUCCACGGUGCCAGUGCUACUCGCAGGACACCGAUGCUGUGGUUUGAUUCUAACCCCUGGAAUGCGACUGCCCUAACCCGGCGUAGACCGAGUGACGACAUGUGGUCAGAAAGGUCGCUUCUGGUUUCCCUGACGUAAUAGUGAGAUAGCAGUCCGCCCGUCUUGAAACACGGAUCCAGGAGUUCGUUGUCAAUGCAAAGCGUGAAAAUUGCACUCGUGAUAAGAUGUCUGCCUGGUCCCGUGGACCGGGUCGCAAUGCAAGGUGAAAGCAAACUUAUCUCGAGCAAAGUUGUAGCGCUGAUACUAGAGGGAAGUGGUGAACCCUUCUGUAUCCACCGAGUCUUUACUUAGUCGAUUGAUGGACAGGGAUUUGAGUGCGAGCAUUCACAACGUGACCCGAAAGGUGGUGAUCUAUACCCAACUACAGUGAAGCCGUGGGAAACUACGGUGGAAGCUGGUCGCUGUACUGACGUGCAAAUCGUUUGUCUGAGUUUGGCAUAGGGGUGAAAGGCUCAUCGAACCGCCUAGUAGCUGGUUUUCUU